UCCACGCACAUGCUCGCCCCAUCAAUCCCUCGCUACCCCUAGCGAGUCUCCAUGUCUCCAGCCGCCGCCGCACCCCAAUCCCCGAUCGUCGUGUCUCCUGGCGAUGACCCCCUCCUCACUCCCUCUUUGUUCUCAUCCUCAAGGCGUCAUCGUCGGCUCCCCUCCUCCGUGAUUCGGCCAUGGCUGCCACUGACGCCCUCCUCUCCAUCGCCACCGGCCAGCCCUCACCUCCACGUCACCGUCUCUCAACCUCCAUCGAUCUCCUGGAUGGAUCUGUCGAUGUUACUAGAUCGACGGAGGGGGGCCUCCACCAUCGCCGUUCUUCUCCCUCCCCAAUCUCCCAUUGUUGUGCUCCUCGGAUCCGGCCAUGGCCAGAACCGACACUGCAUUCCCGGCCACCACCGACAACACCAGCGAGGUGGCCACGGUGGUCGAUACCGGAUCCAUGGAGGAGCUCACCCCGACCUUCUCCUCGUUUCCCCCCAUGGCUGGGUCUCCUGAUCCCUGGAAGUGCUUUGUUACGGGCAACUCUAUAGGAAGGCACAUCAUGUGUGGCAAAAAUACUUCACGUAUUGUUCUAACUGAGUUCCCCAUAAAGUGCAUUGCAACUGAUAGCUUUGUUCCAGGGAGUGUUGAUAUGCAGACGACCCUGAUGACCGCAUCCCCGAUCUUAGUUGCUCGGGCGUUCAAUUUUUGUGGUCGACUCAUCCUCGGUCACUCCAUCCUAGCCUGGGCAAAUCAAUUUUUGUGAACACGUCAAAGUUCUGAAUCAGGCGAUGUUCAACACCCAAAACCCACGCAAUUCCUCCUUCCAUUACUCUCAUUUUGAUUUUGACGUGUUCACUGACUUUGACCCUGACAUGCAGGAGUCCGCUGCCUCGCCCUCCCCGGGAUGGGGAAUUUCGACCUCCUUGGCGAGCAUGUACACACGUACUGGAGAUCUGGAGCAGAAAUAAGGUUAGGCUGACGCGACGAUGCAGAAGAACAACAGCCACAUGCCUCUGCUACCUGACGACUCACAUGUAUCAAUGGAGUGCCUAGCUAGGCAUAUAUUUUGAUUCUUCAGGUUCAUGUUCACUAUAUGUUUUUUUGGAAUGCAAAACUUGGUGUGAUUUCAUACGAGUCAAACAAUGAUUGGAUAAGCUGCUGCAAAAUUUAAUAGAGACUUUGGUAAUACAAAUCCCCUUCCACUACCUCUGUUCUUAGUCACUUUGCCCAUGAUAUUUAGGUGAUGCAAAAUGCAGUUGACCCACCAUCUAUCUGAAAAUAUUUAUAUGUUGUUCUUAUUUUGGGAUGUUCAAAUAUGUCCUAAAGAUGUUUGAAGAAACGGUUAGCCGGUGGUAUCUUUGGCCAGAUGAUUCAACUGUCCUCUAUGAUCCGAAACUUCUGUACCGCCCAUGCCUCCUUAUCUGUCUUCUCCGUGCGCAGCAGCUGGAAGAGAACCUGAGGAAGAGACUAAUUGAAAGUCUUUUUUCUCCAUUUGUACCACCUGGAAGAUAAUUUGAGGAAGAGACUAAAAGGAACAUAAAUGAGUUUUUGAUUCUGGUCUAAGAAAAUUAGUUCUUGUAUGUGUCUCGGUGAGAAAGAGUAUGUGAACUUUGGUGAAUACUUCUACACUGUCAAACUAUUUUUUUUAGUUGGACUGUCAAACCACCUAGAAAUGCCGACAGAGAUGAAAAAUAUUUAGCAGGUUUCUGACAGUAUUGAGCAUGACUUUCUUUUGGUACUACUAAGACAAGCUCUAGAAAUUGGCAUGCUUUUAUGAGAAGGUUAUGUUUUCUGGUCUACUUCAUUUCAUUCAAAUGCAGGCUACUAAAUAUUAAUUAUUUAUAUUUCAUUGGUGCACAUGUGCAUGCAUUUAUAUUCAGGUACCAAGAUGUAUUGAAAAGCUUAUACAAGAAGGAAUUAAGAUAUGUGUGUUGAUGGUGACAAAAAUGGAUAGCUAUCAAUAUUGGGGUUUUAUUUCAGCUGAUAUGGAUGGACUACUUGAGAUUUGUUUUUGGAAAAUAUGGGAACUACAUUUUCCUACAAGUUUUCAGUGCAUGCUUGGAGAAGUGGAUAAAAUUUUAGAGGAAAUAGGUAAAAUGAGCAAGAGGCAUGAGCAGAAAGGAGAACGCCUCAGGGACGACGCCGCAUGUAUUGCCUCUGGAGGAGUUGCAGUGGCCGGCCAUCGUGUUGGGGAAGCAGAGAGGAUUUCGAAACGCUUACAAGGCCUAGAGGAGGAUGGUCGUGAGCAGUUUUGUGGGGCACUUGUCAACGUAAGAGUGUAAUUGCUCAAGGGAGAAGGAAAUGGCAAAGAAUCCAUCAAAAUUUAUGGUGUGGAUGUCGAAGGUUGGGGGAUUUUCAGAAGGAUGCGCCAUUGAUGGUAGUUGCGAGCUUGGCAGGAAGCUUGAAUCGGGGAGGUAGAGAUAUUGGAUGAAGAGGAGGAGCAGGAAGACAAAGAAUAAGAGUGCUUUAAGGGUAGCCCGUAGCAACACGUGGGCAUUUUACUAGUAAAGAAUGAGUUCACAAUAGUACCAAGAGUGGUGAUUUAUUUUCUUAUACUAACAGAGCUUAUGAGAUUUUUCUGUUGAGUUUUGUGUUGUGAAGUUUUCAAGUUUUUGGUAAGGAUUUGAUGGGUUAUGGAAUAAGGAGUGGCAAGAGCCUAAUCUUGGGGAUGCCCAAGGCAUCCCAAGGUAUUAUUCAAGGAC